UGGGGAAUAUUGCACAAUGGGCGAAAGCCUGAUGCAGCGACGCCGCGUGAGGGAUGACGGCCUUCGGGUUGUAAACCUCUUUCAGCAGGGAAGAAGCGAAAGUGACGGUACCUGCAGAAGAAGCGCCGGCUAACUACGUGCCAGCAGCCGCGGUAAUACGUAGGGCGCAAGCGUUGUCCGGAAUUAUUGGGCGUAAAGAGCUCGUAGGCGGUUAGUCGCGUCUGCUGUGAAAACUCGAGGCUCAACCUCAGGCUUGCAGUGGGUACGGGCUGACUAGAGUGCGGUAGGGGUGACUGGAAUUCCUGGUGUAGCGGUGGAAUGCGCAGAUAUCAGGAGGAACACCGAUGGCGAAGGCAGGUCACUGGGCCGCAACUGACGCUGAGGAGCGAAAGCAUGGGGAGCGAACAGGAUUAGAUACCCUGGUAGUCCAUGCCGUAAACGUUGGGCACUAGGUGUGGGUCCAUUCCACGGAUUCCGUGCCGCAGCAAACGCAUUAAGUGCCCCCGCCUGGGGAGUACGGCCGCAAGGCUAAAACUCAAAUGAAUUGACGGGGUCAUAGCUGUUUCCCU
rnacentral:rRNA from 1 species